rnacentral:lncRNA from 1 species
CAAUAGAAAAAAAAAAUUACUGUAUAACAAAUGUAUUAACGAAAAAAUUUAAAUCACUUUAAGAUUGGUUUAAUAUUUAGAAUCAUAUUAAAAAUACGAAUGUUAACAAAGCAUGAUACAGUAAAUAACACUUGGUUUCAUAAUCACACAACCUAAAGCCAUCAUUCCUUUUGAUUGGCACAGCCAAAAAUUUAUUCCAUGAAUUUAUAGGAAGAUGAAAGUAUAAAAUUAUAUCAAGAACUAUAUGCAAUAAUAUAGGAGAAUAUUAUUAUAUUACCACAUAACUUUCCAAGUUGCUUGGUACAGGGU